CCUUUACUAUAGCUUGACACUGAACAUUGAGCCUUGAUGUGUAGGAUAGGUGGGAGGCUUUGAAGCGUGGACGCCAGUCUGCGUGGAGCCAACCUUGAAAUACCACCCUUUAAUGUUUGAUGUUCUAACGUAGGCCCCUGACCGGGGUUGCGGACAGUGUCUGGUGGGUAGUUUGACUGGGGCGGUCUCCUCCCAAAGCGUAACGGAGGAGCACGAAGGUUAGCUAAUCCU
rnacentral:rRNA from 1 species